AUUGAACGCUGGCGGCAUGCUUUACACAUGCAAGUCGAACGGCAGCACGGACUUCGGUCUGGUGGCGAGUGGCGAACGGGUGAGUAAUACAUCGGAACGUACCCAGUAAUGGGGGAUAACUAGUCGAAAGAUUAGCUAAUACCGCAUACGCCCUACGGGGGAAAGAGGGGGAUCGCAAGACCUCUUGUUAUUGGAGCGGCCGAUGGCUGAUUAGCUAGUUGGUGGGGUAAAGGCCUACCAAGGCGACGAUCAGUAGCGGGUCUUAGAGGACGAUCCGCCACACUGGAACUGAGACACGGUCCAGACUCCUACGGGAGGCAGCAGUGGGGAAUCUUGGACAAUGGGCGAGAGCCUGAUCCAGCAAUGCCGCGUGCGUGAAGAAGGCCUUCGGGUUGUAAAGCGCUUUUGUCUGGGAGCAAAUCCUUGUGGCUAAUACCCACCGGGGAUGAGAGUACCAGAAGAAUAAGGACUGGCUAACUACGUGCCAGCAGCCGCAGUAACAC
rnacentral:rRNA from 1 species